GAAUCCCGUCUUUGGCACGGAUGCCUGGUGCUUCUGUGAUGCGCUCUCGAAGAGUCGAGUUGUUUGGGAAUGCAGCUCAAAAUGGGUGGUGAACUCCAUCUAAAGCUAAAUAUUGGCGAGAGACCGAUAGCGAACAAGUACCGUGAGGGAAAGAUGAAAAGCACUUUGGAAAGAGAGUGAAACAGUACGUGAAAUUGUUGAAAGGGAAACGCUUGAAGUCAGUCGCGUCGACCGAGACUCAGCCUCGCCUUGGCUUGGUGUACUUCUCGGCACGACGGGUCAGCAUCAAUUUUGCCCCUCGGAUAAUGGCAGGGGAAAGGUGGCACCUUUACGGGUGUGUUACAGUCUUCUGUCGCAUGCGAGGGGUGGGAUUGAGGAACUCAGCGCGCACCUCAGUGUCGGGGCUUCGGCCCACGUCACGCGCUUAGGAUGCUGGCGUAAUGGCUUUAAACGACCCGUCUUGAAACACGGACCAAGGAGUCCAACACGCCCGCGAGUGUUCGGGUGGAAAACCCGUGCGCGUAAUGAAAGUGAAAGUUGGGACCUCUGUCGUGGAGGGCACCGACGCCCGGACCAGACCUUCUGUGACGGAUCUGCGGUAGAGCGUGUGUGUUGGGACCCGAAAGAUGGUGAACUAUGCCUGAAUAGGGUGAAGCCAGAGGAAACUCUGGUGGAGGCUCGUAGCGAUUCUGACGUGCAAAUCGAUCGUCAAAUUUGGGUAUAGGGGCGAAAGACUAAUCGAACCAUCUAGUAGCUGGUUCCUGCC
rnacentral:rRNA from 1 species